CCUAUGUAAAGAAUCAACACAUACAGCCACAACAACAUCAAACCCUAAUCCUAAUCUGUUCUCUAAAGUUGGAGAAAAUGUCUCACUUUGGCAGGUCAGGACCUCCCGAUAUCACCGAUACAUACUCCCUUCUCGUUCUCAACAUCACAUUCCGUACUACGGCUGAUGAUCUGUUUCCCCUUUUCGAUAAGUAUGGGAAGGUGGUCGAUAUCUUUAUCCCCAGAGACCGAAGGACCGGUGACUCGCGAGGAUUUGCAUUUGUGCGCUAUAAGUAUGCUGAUGAGGCAUCAAAGGCAGUAGAAAGGCUGGAUGGAAGAGUUGUUGAUGGUCGUGAGAUAACAGUUCAGUUUGCGAAAUAUGGGCCCAAUGCUGAAAGAAUUCAAAAAGGAAGAAUCAUGGAACCUGUUCCAAAAUCAAGAUACAAGUCACGCAGUCGCAGUCGCAGUCGUAGUCCUAAGAGAAGAAGCAAAGAUGACUAUCGAGAUAGAGACUACAAAAGGAGAAGUCGCAGCAGAAGCUUGGACAAAGUUGAGCGUGAUAAAUAUCGGGGAAGAGAGAGAGACUACCGUCGACGAAGUAGGAGUCGUAGUGCAAGUCCGGAUUAUUCUAAGGGUCGGGGCAGAGGUCGAUAUGACGAUGCGCGGAGGAGUACCAGUCGGUCAAUGGGAAGUGCAUCCCCUGUUAGGCGUAGCCCGAGUCCUCGAAAGAGUCCAUCUCCUCGCAAGGUUUCCCCUUCAAAGGGAGAAAGUCCUGAUAGACGUAGUCGUGAUGAUCGUUCUUUUACUCCGCGAAGUGUUUCACCUCGUGGACGGCCUGCUGCAUCUGGUAGUCCAUCCCCACAUAAUUCAGAUGUUGAUGAAUGAAGUUGCGCUUGUAUGGGAGAGUUGCAGAGAUAUAACAAGUGCAUUCUAUUGGCACAGUUACCAAUGUUGAUCACUUAAUAGCAUCAUUAAUGUUCUGGUCAGAAUUUAAUGUGCUAGUUUUGGUAGGGUUGGAAUUACUUUGGCACCUAUACAUUUCUAUGCCCAUCCUAAUGCUUUCUGUUUCUUAACAGUCUGUUUGGUACGUACGAACUAUGUUGUCUGUUUGGGAUCCAUAAAAGUUAUGAGAUCUAUGAUCGGGAAAGACUGCUAUGGGGGCAGAUGUGCAGAUUGUUGAUGCUCUGGCUAUUGUGGCUGUUGAUGCUGUUUGUUAAAUGUAGAUGGAUGAUCGUGAUUGUGAUUUCUCAUAAUUUUCUGAUCAUUGGUAAGAAACGAAGUCAGUCUUUUGUUUAUGUGUAGUACUUCGUGUCACUCAGUGGUCUGAUGUUGAUCUGGUUUAUUUCUGGUAUUUGAUUUGUUAUGCUUUGAGAAUAUGGUCAUGAGUUGGGGUUGUAGUUGCAUUCUAAAGGUGGGGUGCAAGAUGAACGUAUAUUUCCUGUAGAUGAUGCCGCACAUUAAUUGGACCUGUUAGUACGUCCAUGCGGAAACAUAUGUCAAACAUGGCAUGCUGCUUUGAAUAUCACAGCUGCAGUAAUUGGACAUGUGAGUAGCAUACGAGUCCGUGAUUGUAGCUGUGAAGUGGCAGCUGACACCUGGUCUCUUGUAUGAUAGUCAUGGUUCGUGAAUAGCUAAAGCAAGUGGUAAUGAACACCUGUAGCAUGCUGUUGCUGCCCUUGUUGAUUGGAACGUGUCAAUAGUGGUACUAGCAGUUUCGAUACUGAUGAUGGCUGUCUAGCUCUCUUGCUGGGUUGGGGUCAAUUCCAAAAGUUCUGCUUUGUCUAGUAAGAUUGCUCAUACCAUGUUUGGACUCAUAUGCUUCCGUAUCACUGGCACAGCUUGUCUUUAAUUACAAUUUGCAGAAUGUUAUUUGUUAAGAUGUUCUAUGCUUAUGUAGUAAGCUUGCUAAUGUCAACCCAUGAAUUCUUUGUAGUUCCAUUUUGGUGGCAUAAUUUUGCUUAUGUUGCCUUGAUGUGGCUGCUUAUGUUUUUUGUCGUUGAUACCGAGUUAGUUUUCUCAA